CGGAAAGCUUAAAAAAACUCUACAACAUAGUCCAUGUUCCAAGCCAAGAACAUGAAAUUUACACGAUAGCCCAAAUGAUAUCCGGAUUGCUUUUCCUUACCAAUAGUCGCUCACACCGCUCCCAAACGUAUAACCUACAAAAUGCAUGAAAAGUAACUAAGACACAUAAAUAUAAGUAACUAAUUCAAGUAAAAGAUACCGGAUAAGUGUAUAUAAAAUCCACUUAUCAAAUACCCCCAAACUUAAACCGUUGUUUGUCCGGAAGUAACACAAUAUAAUGCAAUCUACAUGCUAUGCAAGCUACGCUACUAUGACAAUGAUUCCCCAGAUUUUCAGUCAUGUUAUGAAUUCCAGUGAGACAUGUCUCAGAGAAAUAUCAAGAUUCAAGAACAAAGCAUCAAACUAAACUAAAGGCAUAAUGACAUACAAUCAGAUAGUCCUAACCUGCUAUAAAGAUGUUGUGUGUGUGUGAUGUGUUCACAGAUAAGCUUGACAAAGGUAAAGAUACCACAUGCUUUAUUGCUUAAGGCAUAAAAUUGAAGUUUAAAUUAAGAACUGCAUAUACUAAUGAGACAUCAACUCCAACACAUCAAUACAAACUAAUGUUCAACAAUGGGUUUAUUCAGCUUUAUUUUUACUCGCGAGGGCGAUUUUCGCACUUUUCCGCGGUGUUUAUUGAAUUUUUUUUAAUAUAUAGCGAGUACGUUUUACGCUCCAUCUCACUUUCCAUUUUCAUUUAAACGAGUGCGUUUUACGCUCCAUCUCAUCCCAAUAGCAAGCAUACCCAUGUGUUCCCAAAGUUUGAGUAUCUGUGUUUUCAUAGUCUAUGUCUACUUCAUACACAAUUCCAUCUUUAAAAACAACAUUUUCUACUCAGCAAACAAACAAGUUAUUCUUAAACCAACAAGCAGAUAUGAACACCUAUGUGCUAACCGAUAGCAUCUAAACAACAAGCAUGAAUUAAAUCAUGUAUAACAUUAUAACUAAGCUCAUGUUAUCCACUAAAUUCAAAAAUCUAUCAAAUUUCUAUGUCAUCAUUGGCCAAAUUAGAAUUCACCUAACUAAAAACCUGAGAUUAUGCAAUGUUAUGCAACUAAACACAUACUAAAUAAACAAGGCAAAAGAAAACUAAAAAAAAAUUCAUACUAAAAUACUCCUACUAUGCAACUAACUAUAUGCAACAACUACUCACUACAACCCAAUACCCCCAAACUUAAAAUAAACAAUGCCCUCAUUGUAAUUAAAAGUGAAAGAAUAAUCCCCUAAGUGGCAAUGUCAUCUCCGUUCGCUUCUUCAUGAUCCUAUGGUAUAUCAGGCGAUGGCUAAGUUUGAGAUAUUCUAUAGUUGGAGACUUAGUGUGGACUUCUAACUGUCUGAAUGCUUGAGUCAGAAAUUCUAAAAAUUUAGCAUUUUUUUUCUGUGACUGAGCUAUGGCACGGCCGCGCGACCCUGUACUCUGGCAGCUUCAGUUUUUUUGACUUCUGUUUAAUCCUGAAUGCUUAUAGCAAUUGGAUUGAACCUGAGAGGAGAAACAAUCAAACUAUUAUUAAUACUUACAACUAUCUAACAUCCACUAAAUAUAGAAAUGUAAAUAAGAAUUAAACAAGGAAGGAUAAAGAUUGGAUGGGGUGCCUCCCAUCGAGCACUCGGUUUAUAGUCCGUUAGCUGGACUCUUUUCUUGACACCUGUAAGACCCCGAAUUUUAUGAAAUAAAAGUAUUCAAUUUUUCUUAUAAUUACUAUUCAGUAAAUGGUUAAAUUGAUAAAAGGUUAAAGUUAAGGGUGAUAUAUGAAUUUUUUUCAAAAAUAUGCAAGUGGUUAUAAAAUAUUCAUUGUUGUUGGGGAAUAUUCGUUUUGUCGUGGAAUAUUCUUUCUAUCGAGGAAUAUUCGUACAACGGCGCAGCCAUUUGUGGGCCCCAUAACAGAAUAACUGUCGGAUGAAGAAAAUGACAAAUUAAAGUUUUUAUAAAUAACGGCGUAAUCGUUACCGUUAACACUGUUGGAAUACCCGGUGGUUAAAGUAAAGUAAUAUGCGUUGUUGCACAGUAGCACACGGUAUUGUACAGUAUUUUUGAAUUAUUGAUUCUUACGUAAGAAGGCAUUACUCAAUAAUGGUUACAGUAAUUACAGUUCAGUAUUUUAUUUUAUUGAUUCAAUAAUUGAUGCGUUGAUAUUUUAUAUUACUGUUGUUUCAAUAAUUGUCACUACACAGUAUUUUCCAUUAUAGGAGCAAUAAUUCAUAUUAUCUGAAUAAUAUUAUUAGAUAACGUUAUUGGCAAUGUCUAGAAAGUUAUGUCUAAGGAGAGGUUUGGUCACCUAAUUGCGCGUCAGUAAGGAGAAAUCCUUAUUGGAAAGCCCCCUCUUUCCUGGGAACGGCCUGGUUGUCAUUAUUGUGAUUCUGUAAUAUUAUUUGUGAAUAAUUAAUUAUUUAUUUAUAUGAUCAGGAAAAUAUUCAUUUUACGUGGAUAUAGAUGGAGAAAAUUUUUAAAGUGACAAUUGUUGAAAAACGAUAUUUUAUCUUUUCUGAUAAAAUAAUAUUUUAUUAUAUUAUUAUAAUAUUAUAAUGGUGAUAUUUUUACAAUGAAUGUGGGAUAUAUGAGUAUAUGAGGAAUAGUAUUUUUGUUGCAAAAGAUGUUUAAAACAUGUUAAACAUGUCUGUGGGCCCAUUUCUUGACUGAAAUUUGAUUAUAGCCUAUAAAAUCGCAAAGUUGUAGAGAAUUAAAUUUCCUAUAAAAAGUCGCGAGAUUCGAAUUUUCUGAUAAAAGGGCUAUUUAUUAUAAAUUAUUGAAAUUAUGUGGUUCCGAAAUAAUUGAUUUUUGAAAGUUUUAAUUAAUUUUAAUAACAAAAACGUUUUUGUUAUGUUUGGAGGGCCCACUGGUGGUUGAUAUUAGCUGAAAUCAGUUGUUAAAAGUGUGCGUAAGAAAAUUUUAUAAAUAUAAUAUUAUUAUAUUAAAUUUUCUGCUCUGGUGUUCUAAGCAUUUUCCUAUAAAUAGGGUGCUUAGAUUAGAAUUGAAAAACACACCAGAAACUAAAGAUUUCUCUCUCUUUCUCUCUCUGUAAUAUCGAGCGUAUUUUGUGAGUAUUUUAGUAAUUCGAGUAUUGCUAUACGGUGCAAGUUCUUUUAGCAAUAUAUCCAGUAUUCCAGUCAGAAGUACUAUUUUUUAUGAGGUAAGGGAGAUUAUUUUCUUCAUAAAUGAUAUUAUUUUUUCAAUAUCAUUAUACUGAAAUAUUGGUUUGAACUUUUUAUCAAAUUUGGAACUUUUUCAUGUCGAAGUUACUAUUCACGAGUUACUAUUCACGAGUACUAUUCACGAGGUGUGAUGAUGUUUUUUAUGAAAUUUUUAUCUUUUGGUGUCGAAGUUACUAUUCACGUAAACGGCACUAUUCACCAAAAAAUGAAAUUUCUUCUUUUUGUCCAAAAUAUCUAUUUUGGAUACUAGCUUUGAUUGUAUCCAUGUUUUGAUCAUUCUUGAAUUUUACCCCACUCUGGUUAUUUAUGAAGUAUUUUUGAAUGUGAAUUGUUUAAAGUACGAAUCCUUAAUAUUUGUUCUUUUGCUUCACUGGAUUCGUUUUCUUUAAAAUAUUUUUCAUCAUCCUCAGUCCUAAAUGAUGAUAUAACUGAAUAUCUUUGGCCUGUAGUGCAAAGAUGAAUGAUUUCUGAUGAAUAUCUUUGGCCCGUAGUGCAAAGAUGAACGGGUGUUUAGAUGAACAUGACCAACUGAUGAAUAUCUUUGGCCUGUAGUGCAAAUAUGACUUGUUGAUGAAUAUCUUUGGCCUGUAGUGCAAAGAUGACUUGUUGAUGUAUAUCUUUGGCCGUAGUGCAAAUAUGAAUUUAUUAGUAGGAUUAUGAACAUAAACUGUAAUUUGGUAUAACCAAAAUCUUUGAUGUUUCAGGUGAUAAAAAUUAUCUUUGUCCUGGAUGAGGAAAGGAAUUUAGAACAACAAUUAUGAUUAUGAGUUAUACAUGUGAUUGUGGACAGGAAUUGUUGAUUGAUGUUACAGGGAUAAAACAUUGUUGGUGGACUUUUAACAUGGAGAAGAUAAUAGACUUUAUGGUCUAUUUGACUCUUCUAAUGGAUUGCUCGUUCCGCUGCAACUAUGGUUAAAAAGUUUUAUCAUCUACCAUAUGUUCUAAAUCUCUGAUUUAUUAUUGUUGAAGGCUAUUGAUAAUUUAUUUAUCUUUAGUCAUGAUAUUCUUUACUGAGCUAGUUGUGCUCACCCUUUUGCUUCACAAUUCCUUUCAGGUAAUAAAAGUGUAGUUGGGUCAAGCGGGGGAUAACAGGGGAAUAGAACGGUGGUCUAUAGAUGUUGAGGGUGAGGUGAAUUUAACUUGGAAUGGUGUUUUACCACUAUCAUACAAGAUGUCUAAUGACAUACAACCUUGUGUCAUCAUAAGACAGGGUUGUGCACAUCCACUUACUGAGUAUAUCUACCAGCACUACCUAUAUGAUCUUGGAGUCUAUUUGAAAUAUAACUCUCAAUUAGAGACAGUGGAGAUAAUGAUAUGUCAAGAGAAGACUCACCAUUGGGAAAAUAUGAUAGUAAUCUUCUCAUUUUUCUUUGGGGUCUAUUGGGUCAACCAAGGAUAAUUUUAUGGCCAUAUGAUAUCUAUCAUAACCUAGACGCAUGGCCUCCCAUGUACGAAGGUUUCCUUAAGCACUUCCUAAAGGUUUUAAUUUCUAAAAUAGUUUUUGACUGUACCUUUAUGUAAGGUGUCAUGGUGACGUGCUAUCCAAGUUGGUGUCCGGAGUCAUAGUUGGUAUAUAUUUGUAUUUAAACUCACAGUUUAAGUGUUGUCGUAUCUUGCACGACAAUUAUAUUAAUAAAGUUGUAGUUGUUUUUUGUACCAUGUAUUUGGCGACUCAAAAUGGGUUGGAUGGAAUGGACCUAUUUUGGGGGCGUUACAACACCGCUAUCUGAUUCCUCUACGAUAAGAUAAGAACCCUCCAUCCAUUAGAACCGCUAUGUGCUUUGGUAGGUUCCCCAUCAUGAAAGUCUUCGGAUUGAAGUCACCUAGCAUAUUUCCUGUACAUGAUGUCUCCAUUUCUAUUGCAUCGCCAGGUGCUUCUCCCGUUGUAUCUGUGAAUAGAUUUUUGCAUUGAGGCAUGACAGAUACAACAGUAUUUUCUUCUUCUAUUAUCUCUUCCUCAGCCCACCAUGGUUUGUAAGAGGCCUCAUAAUCGCAGAAAUUGUUGCUUUGGAUGUGACUACCAAGGGGACAUUGGUGUGCAAAUUUCACUGAAUUUUUCAACUCUAACUGAGAAGGCACUUGGGGUAUUAUACACAUCAUCUCACGAUCUUCAUUUUCCAUACCCCCAGUUGUCUCCUCAAUGACCACUCCUUUCAGUUCAUUCAGUGGCAUGAACACCUCUGGCUCUCCAUCAGUUUCAUCGUCCAUGUCAUAACACCAAUUAUUUGGAGGGCGAUUGUUCAAGGCUUCGAACAUUUGAUCCAUCUGAUUCUGAAGAUUUCGAAUUGACCUCUCUUGCUCAAUCAUCUUCUCAUCACUUGAUGCUACACACUUGAACCACAAAUCCUCCAAUCUCGAAUUAUCUUGUUUAGUUUCAAAAUCCAUGUAUUGAGGACCAUUCAUUAAGGAGUUAAUGAGUUGUUCCAUCUGUUUGUUAAGAUUUUGGCUUGAUAACUCCCAACUCCUCAUCAUCUCUUCAUGGUCUGCUAUGAUUUUUGACAUGAAUUCCUUCAACCUUGAAUUUUCCUCUUGUUGCGUUGAAGGUGGAUAUGAGAAAUCUGAUGGAUGUGUUGGACUUGGGAUGCAGUAUUGGUCGGGAUAGUUAUAACUCAAUUCAUAAUUUGGGUGAUACCCCCAACCUUGUUGAUAAUCAGGAUAAUCAUCGUUGUUGAAGUAAUCACCCUCAAACUGCACUUGUCCAACCUUGAUGUUGCACUGAUAACUCGGAUGCUCACCAGCACAGUAUUCAAAUGUAACUACUAUCUCUCGAGUUCGUUGGGCUGCAAGAAUAUCCAACCUCUCCGAAAGUGUUGCAAUUUGUGCUGACAAUGUAGAAAAUACAUUGAGUCCCUCAGUGCUUGUGUCCCUUGGUUGAAUCAU
rnacentral:lncRNA from 1 species